CGCCCACGAUCCGCCCUCGCCGCGGGCACAGGACUGAAAAUCCUGGUGUCGGCGGUUCGAUUCCGCCCCUGUCCA
rnacentral:tRNA from 1 species